GUCCACGCCGUAAACGAUGAGUGCUAGAUGCUGCGGGUAUUGACCCCCGCGGUGUCGCAGCCAACGCGUUAAGCACUCCGCCUGGGGAGUACGGCCGCAAGGCUAAAACUCAAAGGAAUUGACGGGGGCCCCGCACAAGCGGUGGAGCAUGUGGUUCAAUUCGACGCAACGCGCAGAACCUUACCUGGGUUAAAUCCACUCGAACCUAACAGAGAUGUUGGGGUGCCCUUCGGGGAGCGAGUGAGAAGGUGCUGCAUGGCUGUCGU
rnacentral:rRNA from 1 species